rnacentral:rRNA from 1 species
CACCGCGGUUAAACGGGAGACCCAAGUUGAUAGACAACGGCGUAAAGCGUGGUUAAGAUAUUAAUUUAAUAGGGUCAAAUAGUCUCUAAGUAGUCAAAUACUAUCGAAACCACAAAGCACAUCUACGAAAGUAACCCUAACACCUCUGACCCCACGAAAGCCAUAACA